AACGAACGCUGGCGGCAUGCCUAACACAUGCAAGUCGAACGAGACCUUCGGGUCUAGUGGCGCACGGGUGCGUAACGCGUGGGAACCUGCCCGUAGGUUCGGAAUAACUCCCCGAAAGGGGUGCUAAUACCGGAUAAUGUCUUCGGACCAAAGGUUUAUCGCCUUUGGAUGGGCCCGCGUUGGAUUAGCUAGUUGGUAGGGUAAAAGCCUACCAAGGCGACGAUCCAUAGCUGGUCUGAGAGGAUGAUCAGCCACACUGGGACUGAGACACGGCCCAGACUCCUACGGGAGGCAGCAGUGGGGGAUAUUGGACAAUGGGCGAAAGCCUGAUCCAGCAAUGCCGCGUGAGUGAUGAAGGCCUUAGGGUUGUAAAGCUCUUUUACCCGGGAUGAUAAUGACAGUACCGGGAGAAUAAGCUCCGGCUAACUCCGUG
rnacentral:rRNA from 1 species